rnacentral:rRNA from 1 species
UACAGAGGUCUCAAGCGUUGUUCGGAUUCAUUGGGCGUAAAGGGUGCGUAGGUGGCAUGGUAAGUCGGAUGUGAAAUCCCGGGGCUCAACCCCGGAACUGCAUUCGAUACUGCUGCGCUAGAGUACUGGAGAGGAGAUUGGAGUUUACGGUGUAGCAGUGAAAUGCGUAGAUAUCGUAAGGAAGACCAGUGGCGAAGGCGGAUCUCUGGACAGUUACCGACACUGAGGCACGAAGGCCAGGGGAGCAAACGGG